GUCGAUAUUAAUUAUCGGCAUCAUAAGGUAUCAUUACACGUGUCCGAAACGUGACUGCAAAAACCCUCAAUUGCAAAAUUUAGGGAAAAUGAAAACCACCGAACACAAACACAGACAAAAACCCAAAAACAAAAACCUCUACUUACUCUCAAUUAUCAACCAAACAACUCUUUUCUCUUUCAAUCCGAAUUCUACAAAGAUACUUAUGGAACCAUUGUUUUCAAACUCAGAUCUUUGUUUUUCUCGGAGUAACUUCAAUAUGAGGGAUAUCAUUUUGUGAAUCGGAUUCUUCGAAUUGAGGUCAAUCAAUUUCAAUUUUAGAUUUUUUUCCUUCUCGAAUUCAAUUUCAAAUUUAGGUACAUCAAUUUAAAUUCAAAUCUUCGUCUAUUGUUGAAUCAAUUUAUAGAUCUUGACCUAAAAUUGUAAUCUAUGUCGUCCCUCUCAAUGCAGAUCGACAAUAAUAAGGACGGAGCUGCUGUGAGUGUUGACUUCGUUUGGCUUGUUCUCCUUCGUUAGAGAAGGUUUUAAGGUGAUUCUUUUUUUGAAUUUGGUUUGUCCCUUGCGUAUGGACAGCAAGGUCUGCACUACUUUAUCUUCUUUGAGCUGGGCAAUUUAAUGAUAACAUGGAUGGACGUUGUUGCUGCCUAUGCUUAACAUUGCUACAUGCUGCUGCCACGGUGCCACCGCCUAUGCUUGACGCUGCUGCUGCUGCUUCCUCUGCUUAACUUUAGUUAGUUGCUUCCUAUGCUUGCUACUGUUCAUGGGGUUUUCUAAGCUAAAACAAGGUUCUCAAUUAGUCAUGAAUGAGCACAAGUCAGAAUUGUAACAGUUGUAAUAGAAAACUCACUACUAUGAAAAAUUGUACAAUUUUUUUUUAAUAUUCAAUAAUAAAAUUAACUUUGGCAUAAUUUUAAAGCA